AUAUGCCACCAGAUUUGAGCGGUGUGUUAAGUAGUACUAUUCUUAUCAGUUUAAUCUCUGUUACGUCCCCUAUCAGGGGACUUGUAUAUGGCAUUGAUUUUAGGAUCCGGGAGAUGGAAAAAGAUGCUUGGUCGGUCCUCCUACUUUCAAUUUGGGGCACUGCACAUGCGCCGUGUAAUGUACUGUGC